rnacentral:rRNA from 1 species
AGUGAACGCUGGCGGUAGGCCUAACACAUGCAAGUCGAACGGCAGCACAGUAAGAGCUUGCUCUGACGGGUGGCGAGUGGCGGACGGGGGAGGAAUACAGCGUAACCUACUUUUUCGUUGUGGAUAACGUAGGGAAACUGACGCUAAUACCGCAUACGCUCUACGGGUGGCAGCAUGGGUUUGUCGGAGCUUGCGCGAUGGAAGGAGCCGAUGUCGGGUUAGCUAGUUGGCGGGGUGGGGGCCUGCCAAGCCGACGCUCAGUAGUUGGUCUGAGAGGAUGAUCAGCCGCCAUGGAACUGAGACAAGGUCCAGACUCCUACGGGAGGCAGCAGUGGGGAAUAUUGGACAAUGGGCGCAAGCCUGCUCCAGCCAUACCGCGUGGGUGAAGAAGGCCUUCGGGUUGUAAAGAACUUCUGUUGGGAAAGAAACGCAGCAGGUUAAUACCCCGCUGUUCUGACGGUACCCAAAGAAUAAGCACCGGCUAACUUCGUG